rnacentral:rRNA from 1 species
UACGUAGGGUGCAAGCGUUAAUCGGAAUUACUGGGCGUAAAGCGUGCGCAGGCGGUUUUGUAAGUCUGAUGUGAAAUCCUCGGGCUCAACCUGGGAAUUGCAUUGGAGACUGCAAGGCUAGAAUCUGGCAGAGGGGGGUAGAAUUCCACGUGUAGCAGUGAAAUGCGUAGAGAUGUGGAGGAACACCGAUGGCGAAGGCAGCCCCCUGGGUCAAGAUUGACGCUCAUGCACGAAAGCGUGGGGAGCAAACAGG